GUGGAUUAAUGAGUACGAUCACUCCAAGCCCAUCCAGGGGCAGCAGAAGAAGCCCUUUGAGGAGCACUGGAGGAAGCACACCCUGUCCUAUGUGGACGUCAGCACUGGGAAGUGCACAGCCAGAGAACAACACAUCACACACAGGAAACAGUUGUGCUCAUGUGAUGGGGGCCUCAGCACUAGGAAGGAGUGGACUAUUGGCGCAUGUAGCAGCUUGAAUAAAUCUGAAAGUCACUACACUGCGUAAGAGAAGCCAAAUAAAAAAGUUCAUGCUGUGUACAGAGGGUGUUGAGAAUGCCUCCUACGUGACGGAAAGCAGAUCCGUGGUUCCCUGCAGACCGGCAGGAGCAGAUUCCAAAGGCACAGGAAGAAGCUUGCAGAUGGAGUCUCGCUCUGUCACCAGGCUGGAGUGCAGUGGCAUGAUCUCAGCUCACUGCGACCUCUGUCUCCUGGGAUCAAGAGAUUCUCGUGCCUCAGCCUCCCGAGUAGCUGGGACUACAGGCAGCUGCUCCCAACCCCAGCAACUUUGCUAUCUUAGAACGGAUCACCAGUGAAAGAGGGGAAGUUGCUACUGUGAUGAAUUCUGCCAUGUGGUACCAGACUGCUGCCCAGACCACAGUGUCCUCUGCAACCCUGGUAACUCACAUACAGGCCUGAUUCCACCUACAGCAAAGCUGGAUGCUAUGGUUGGCAGAGGCAAGCCCCUUGCCUGCACUUCAGGCCAAAGCCGGGAUGUGGCCUAGAUGGUUCCUAAGGUCCCUGACAGUCCUGAGAUCUUUCAUCUUGUCUAUUUCAGGUCAAAGGUGCCUACAUGUUCCUUCUAGCUUUGUUUCCCUGAUGUUCCUUGCCACCUGCUACUCCUCUCUGAGCUA
rnacentral:lncRNA from 1 species